GAUCAUGGCUCAGGAUGAACGCUAGCGACAGGCUUAACACAUGCAAGUCGAGGGGCAUCAUGAGGUAGCAAUACCUUGAUGGCGACCGGCGCACGGGUGAGUAACGCGUAUGCAACCUGCCUGAUACCGGGGUAUAGCCCAUGGAAACGUGGAUUAACACCCCGUAGUACUUUUAUCCUGCAUGGGAUGUGAGUUAAAUGUUCAAGGUAUCGGAUGGGCAUGCGUCCUAUUAG
rnacentral:rRNA from 1 species